rnacentral:rRNA from 1 species
AUUGAACGCUGGCGGCAGGCUUAACACAUGCAAGUCGAACGGGGGAAGUUGCUUCGGUAAUUGACCUAGCGGCGGACGGGUGAGUAAUACUUAGGAAUCUGCCUAUUAAUGGGGGACAACAUCUCGAAAGGGAUGCUAAUACCGCAUACGCCCUACGGGGGAAAGCAGGGGAUCACUUGUGACCUUGCGUUAAUAGAUGAGCCUAAGUCGGAUUAGCUAGUUGGUGGGGUAAAGGCCCACCAAGGCGACGAUCUGUAGCGGGUCUGAGAGGAUGAUCCGCCACACUGGGACUGGGACACGGCCCAGACUCCUACGGGAGGUAGCAGUGGGGAAUAUUGGACAAUGGGGGGAACCCUGAUCCAGCCAUGCCGCGUGUGUGAAGAAGGCCUUAUGGUUGUAAAGCACUUUAAGCGAGGAGGAGGCUCUUUUGGUUAAUACCCAAGAUGAGUGGACGUUACUCGCAGAAUAAGCACCGGCUAACUCUGUGCCAGCCGCCGCCGUAAGAC